rnacentral:rRNA from 2 species
AUGACGAGUGGCGCACGGGUGCGUAACGCGUAUGCAAUCUACCUAUAACUGAGGGAUAGCCCAGAGAAAUUUGGAUUAAUACCUCAUAAUAAUAUUUUUUGGCAUCAUUAAAUAUUUAAAACUCCGGUGGUUAUAGAUGAGCAUGCGUUCUAUUAGUUUGUUGGUGAGGUAAAAGCUCACCAAGACUACGAUAGAUAGGGGGCCUGAAAGGGUGAUCCCCCACACUGGUACUGAGACACGGACCAGACUCC